AUUGAACGCUGGCGGCAGGCCUAACACAUGCAAGUCGAACGAGCGGCGGACGGGUGAGUAAUGUAUGGGGACUGCCCGCUAGAGGGGGAUAACUACUGGAAACGGUGGCUAAUACCGCAUACUAUCGGAUAACCCAUAUGGGAUUAGCUAGUAGGUGGGGUAAAGGUUAACUUAGGCGACGAGCUCUAGCUGGUCUGAGAGGAUGAUCAGCAACACUGGGACUGAGAAACGGCCCAUACGCCUACGGAGGCAGCAGUGGGGAAUAUUGCACAAUGGGCGAAAGCCUGAUGCAGCACUGCCGCGUGGAUGAGGAAGGCCUUAGAGUUGUAAAGUACUUUCAGCGGGGAGGCGUUACCCGCAGAGGAAGCACCGGCUAACUCCGUGCCAGCAGCCGCGGUAAUAC
rnacentral:rRNA from 1 species